UACAGCCAUAUCACAUUGAAUCACUGGUUCCUGUAUGAUCACAAGUUAAGCAAUGUCAAGCCUGAUCAGUAUCUAGAUGGGUGACUGUUUGGGAAUACCAGGUGCUGUAA